rnacentral:lncRNA from 1 species
UACUCUCUUAUCAUUGCCUAACUGGUUAAUAUUUUUUUUGAUUCGUAAUAGCUAAAUAACCUAAGCAGUUUUGUCGACUGAAUUAUUUAACCUAAUUUAUUGGUUUGCAGGACCUCUGAUCCGUAAUCCAACUACGGAGAUGGAACAAAUCAUCAAUUCCCUGCGUGUGAAGUACAUAACCUACGAUGUGGAAUAUGAGUUUGAUUGUGUUAGUUUUAAGUUUCCUCAUUUUUUAUUCAUUGUCUUUCUGUCGCAUGUUUGUUUCAGUUUAAUAAUUUGUCACGUUAUACUUUUAUCCACGGUGGUGUAAUGAUUCCCAAUUGUUUUGGAUCAGAUUUUGGAAAUGAGAUUGGUCGUUAUUCUUUCCAAUAUCUAUAAACACUAACUGGUUCUGUCAAUUUUUUUAGAUGCUCCAGGACAAGCAAUUUUGUGAGCUGAUGUUGGAAAGGAAGACGACCAUUAUCAUGGUCAUUGACGAUUGCGGCAAUCGGUGAGACUGUAUUGAUGUUUACUAAUCUCUGCCUGAAAAACAAUUUAAGGUUGGAGGUCAGUGGAAGAGGCUGGUCGAAGGUCGAAGAGUUAAGCAUGGUGCAUACAUGAUUGUUCGUGCUCCAACGGCUGGAAACAACAUCACUCUUUACCUAAGUCUUAAAUGUCUUUGAAUUGUUUGAUGUGUGAGAUUGGAAUUUCAAGUGCUUUCUAUCAAAUUAAUCUUAGUAUUUUAGUCCAAGUGAAAUAUGUAAUGUCAUUGCUAUAAGUUCUAUAAUAGUUUUAAUAUUUCUAUGUUAGUUUUAAAGUUUUUUGAACUUUUAAUCAAGCUUAUGUAUCAGACUUGGCAAGUAGUCUGAAUGAGAUAUUUUGAUUAUGUUUCAUGAAAUAUCCACCUUAAAGUAUAAUUAUUGUCGACUUUUUUGCGUUAGUGCUUCUUCGUUAUUGUUCAUUUCAUUGGGUGAUUUUGAAAGCAAAAUUAAGUCAACCUAAACUAUGAAACCUAAACUCAGAUUAUUAUUUUCCAAUGUUUUAUAACAUUGCGUUUUAAUGAAAGUGUACGCAAUUGACUUAAUCAAAAUACACUAUCAAAAUACUAUAUAUUAUACCCUAUAUAAAUUUGUGUUGAUGUAAACUUAUGAUCAAAAUACAUAACUUAAUAUCAUGAUAUUGGAAAGCUUACGGAUUAAAGUAUCAAAAAAUAGACUUUUUAUUAGGAAGCUAUAGAGAUAUGUAUUUUUGAAAAUGCUGUACAAAAAUAAAUGUAUGUAAAUUUGUAAAGUUGCAAAU